ACAUAAACCACAGAAUUUGGUACUUUUGACUCAAGCCAAUCAAGACACUCUGGUUCUUCUUUCCAAAGAUUUGCCCCGAUCGUCUUUGAGUCAUCAUCUUCUUGGAUAUGACUGAGUUGUUGAUGAAGAGGUCCAAUGGAAUACACAGGUGGUAGCAAACUUGAAAAUGCAUCUAAAACUUUAUGCUCCAAGGCAUCAAAUGUGUUAAUAAUGAUAGCAGACGCUCUUUGAGCUUGUUCUAUCACAUCCAGAAGAUAACUCAGCAUGACAUCAUCUGGGUCUGUGGUUCUAAUGAAGGUUGGCAUGUCCCUCAAACGUAUACUGCCCAAGCCAGGUAACCAGUCAAUUACAGUGUCCAAGUAGCCAUUUGUUAAAUAACUGGCCUCUGCAAAUAAAGGAGACAAAGGUGAAGUUAACAUUCUGGUACCGCUACAUGUUUAGGACAUAGUGUUCCAGAAUAGUGAUGACCCAUACCUUUAAGUGGAACAAUACCCUUUUCAAUGAGAUGGGCAUAGUGAAGGUAGCACAUUAAUGCACAAGCACUCUCUGUAUGGAAGAGGACUACUGGAAAGCCAAGUUCAUGGGCUGCAUCAAGAGUGAAGGUCAUGCCAAAAUCAGAAAUUAUGCAAGUAACAGGAGGGGAAUUUGAUGAAGAAUUGAGUUCUGAAAGAAGGCUUCAGAAGGGUGCUAAAAAGUUAUUUCUAAUGGAACCACAUAGGGCUGGUAUGUCUUGGGUGACAUUGGCAUCAGUAGGAGGAAGGCCAUCGGGAAUCGAUUUGAACCUAAACGAGGGCAGGCCAUCGAGAGAGUUGGGACCUCGGGAUCUAAGCAAGCGCUCAUGGUUGUACUCUGUGUUGACAAAGGUUAUAUGAAAGCCUCUGUAGUGAAGGAUUUUAGCUAAUUUUAGCAUCGGGUUUAUGUGACCUUGAGCAGGGUAUGGUAUACAAACUGCAUGUGGCUUCUCUGAGGCGUUGGAACCCAUUCUCUCUCUCUCUUGAUUACAUAGGGGAUGAUUUGGGAAAGAGGAUGUGUACAGGGUUUUAUAGGGAAACGGAAUGUCUUACCAGUUUUAAAUUGGUAGAUAUCUGGCUUAUAAUUAUUCCAAUUUCAGUGUCCUAAAAUGACAUCCAGUAAAAGUUAACACAAAAUAUAUAGGAAGCCAGGAAGGUCUAUAACAAUUUACAUCCAUAUGAGGUGAGUCUACACUCCUGAGUCUGAAUCGCUGAAGUGUCUAACCUUUUUCAUUUUUAUUUUGCUAGAUGGGGAAUUCGUAUUCAGGAUUAAAUACCACUAAACAGUAAUAACAAGCAUAGAAAAAUUCCUUGCCUGCUCAAUGACACACAAUGAAGUAAAAGAAAGAUUGUAUGGUGUUCGUCCUCCAUCAUAAAUACAAGAACCAAACCCUUAAACUCCCUCCCCAAUCUCCUCCACAAUUUCCCUCUGCAUUUAUUCCUCAAACACUUUCCCAUCUCCCACCACUUACAUCUCCCGUCUAUACUCCUCAACAACUCUAUCGGCUAUUCCUCCUACCGUUUAGUGUAAAGAAUGUCAGCAACUUUCUUAUCAAGCUAGCAACAUUUUCCAUGUGUUCUAAUCUGCACUAACUUAUAAAUGUGGUAGAGUACAGAGUCUGCACCCGAAGAUAGUUAGAAUACAUAGUCUGCACCCGAAGAUAGUUAGAUAGAGUCUUGAGCUGGAAUUCUUCAGCUGAUCACAAUCAGUUGGCACAGAAAUUUACUAUAACAUCAGCAUCUUCCUAUAUGAACCCAAAGGAAACAAUCACACACUAAAACGUGGCCAUUUUGUUUAAUUUCUAUUCCAAUGGAACCCAUUUAUCAAUACCCAUAUAUCAAUUGAACCCAUUUAUCAAAACUCAUAUAUCAAUUGAACCUACAUAUCAAUUCAUAAUCUUAUAUCCUCUACUCUAGGUGACUGAAAAUAAAAAACAAUACUAAAAAAGACAGUAAAAAGCUACAUAAAGAAAGUGAAAACUUUUGAACCUGAAGAGGAGUGGAGAAGACGAGUCCAGCCUCACUCAUUCUUUGCUUGAGUUGAAGUACGUCAGCCCAUUGGACGUGUUCCUCGAUUUGGAGAAGGCCAAAGCUCCCGGGGGCGGCGGCCGGUUACUCGGCUAAGCCGAGUCGGCUUCUCCUCGCCGUCUCCGACCACAACAACCGAAUCGCAUCGCAACUCUCCUCCAAAUCCAAUUUCCUCUUCUACUUGAAUUUCGAUGUUUCAUCUAUGAAUUGCAAUUUCAAUUUCAAUUACUAAGAGGUAAAACUUCAUUCUCCAACAAAAAAAAAAAAAAAAAAAAAGAGAACUGGGCUUAUGGGGGCUAGGCGGAUCUUGGGCCGUCUAGGCGGAACCUAGUUUAGUUAGGCCUAGGCAGGUUGGUUGGUCCACUUUAAACAAACAAACAAAAAAAAAAACAAACAAAAGACAAUUGGGCUUAUGCGGGCUAGGCGGGAUUUGGGCCGGCUAGGCGGAAUCUAGUUUUAUUAGGCCUAGGCAGGUUGUUUAGUCCACCUCAAACCUUUCAUGUGUCGGAAGUGUGGGAAGUUGCUGGCGGUGAAAGGGUGAUUGGAGGACUCAUGAGAAGAAUUGCGGCAAGCGCUGGCUUUGCUCUUGUGGUUCAGAUUUCAAGCACAAGAGGUCGUUGAAAGAUCAUAUGAAGGCUUUUGGGUCUGGUCAUAGUCCUUUCCCUCCUACCUCUUUUGAUGAGGAUAGUACUGCAGCUUCGUUUGUUUAAGGAAUUCAAAGGUAUCUAUAGAAGUAAUCGAUGAUGAUACAACUAUUUGAGGCUUGCAUGCUAAAUAAUGAUUGAAAUUUGAGGACAUGAUGUUUUUGUAGUACACUCUUUAAAUUUAAAAUUUCUCCUAGUUUUUCAUAAUAUAACCCAAAGAUUAAUUAGAAUUUGUAUGCAUUAGCAUGUCUGGCUUUCAGAAAAGAAUGUGAAAAAAUAGGUUCACAAGUUACGCUUCCUGCACUUGUACCAAAUUACCAAAAGUCCCUGCCGAAAAAAGAAAAGAGAAGGAGCAACAUUCUCUCCCUCUUGUCACUAUAAGAAAAUUACUUUCACUUUCAAGGCCAUACGCCCUAACCGUUGAUGCUGCAUUUUUGCAAUAUUAUUGAUAGGCUAACAUGGAAUACAUGGCUCACUUGAAACAAGCUCAAUGUUGAAGACAAAGGAAACUAAAGAGAAAAGCUGAAGCAACUUUUUGAGUCCUUUUCUCUUAAUGCAACAAAGAUAAGAAAAUUAUUACACCGAUUGACUGCAGAUGGGAGCUCAUGCAGAUCUGUUCAGUAUGCUCUUCUCUAGGGGCAGAAGAUCAAAAAUAUGUGCUAGCACUAUAUGGACCUCGUUCUACGGGGAUUUUAUAGAUUAAUAAAACAAUAUUUAAUUAACGUGUCCAUCACGUGUCCGUAUCUUAUCAUAUCUGACAUUUGACGUGUCCACAUAUCGAAUACGGACACACGUACUCGUAUUCAUGCUUAGCUAUUUGAUGAGCUUCCGUAGCUUCAUGGUCUUCCUAACUCUAGAGGAAUCAGGUCCAACCCAAUUUGUCAUCAUAGACUAUCAAAGACUCAAAGAGCCUUUGUUUCUCGAAAGAGAGCUUAAGCAGGUUCCCUUUUAUUAAGAGGUUAAUUUGUUCGUGUAGGUUAGUAUAAACAGACGAGUGGAUGACUUCUGGUUUAGUUCAACAAAGAGCUUAACAGAACCUUGUCAAAACUAAAUGUUACCUGAUAAAUUAGAGUCUAGUUAGGUUUACUUGUUUGUAAUAACUCACAAACUACAGGAUUUCAAGAGGAUUUAGCGUUGAGCAAACGAAGGUACAAGAACACCUGUAAACUCUGUAAUCAUGUGGAGGCAAUCAUAUGCAGCUGUUCAACUUUGAAUUGAGCUCAACUGUAAACAAUAUAACACCUUUCCAUAUCUCUAAUUAUGAUGGAGAACAGACUGAGAUUGAAAACAGGUAUCUGGCAAAUCCUGAAGAACAUAUAUUGUUGCUGUUCAUAAACCGAAUCCUCGUAGCCAUAAACAAUGAUGAGUCUGCUUUCAGUUUUCUCUAACUCCGUUUUUACUCUCCAGUUGUUCAUCAUUGGGAUCCAUCUGUGACCAAUAGCUCACAUCUUCAAAUUUUUGCAACUAUACCCAAUAAAAUCUAUGCUAUAGUAGAAAAUACAGGCUAAAAUACUAUCAUGUAAUACCUUUUGUAAGGGACUAAUAACCUAUUUAAACAAUGAGAUAGACUACAGUAAUGUAAUUGAAUUGCAUGACAGAAGCACCAUUAUGGAAUUAAUGAUGUCCAAUGAAUAUAUAGUUCAUGGAGCCAUCUUCAAUCAAGAGAUCAGCAUCCGCUUUAAUAAUGUUGACAAAGCUGUUGCAUCUAUCUAAAGCUGUAAAACUUGACUCCAAAUGUACAAGAAUGAAAACAAGAACGCAAAGUGAAAUUCCCAUUGCAUGCUUAUUAUUUAUUAUUACAAUACUACACCAGAACGAUGAUCAUUAUAUAGAUUAUCCAAACAAAUAAUAUUCAUGUAGAUUCUAAUCGAAUCUGAUUUUUACGAGAAAAAGGCACUUGUCUAACCAUUUUGUCCAAGUUCAAGAAAGAUGAACCACAGGAGCUGUGGUAGCAUCCUCGGCCAACUUCUCCCAUUCCAUUCCUCAUCUACUUGCCAUCCUCUCCCUUCAUUAAUUUCCUCACAAGAUUCUCUACGUAAUUAUCCAUGUAGAUCCCUAAUAAAAUCUAAUUUUUAGGAGAAAGAAGCACCUGGUUAACCAUCUUGUUCAAAUUCAAGAAUGACGAACCAUUGGGAGCAGUAAUAGCUUCCUCUGCCAACUUCUUCCAUUCCAAGGAUUUCUUCCUCAUUUGUUUGCCUUCCUGUCCUCCCAUUAAUUUUCUCACAAGGUCUUCUAUAUAAUUCCUUUUAACAUCACCCUCUAUCUGCAUGGCUACACCCCACUCUUUGCAACAGAACCUACAAUUUGUUUGUUGGUCAGCAAAGAAGGGCCAACAGAUCAUGGGAACUCCACCACACAGACUUUCAACCAUAGAGUUCCAUCCACAGUGUGUCAAGAAACCUCCUAUAGCUGGAUGAUUCAGAACUUGUUCUUGAGGGCACCAACUCGCCAACCAACUCCUUCCCUUGGUCUCUUCUACAAACUCGGGUGGAACCACAGCUGAUUUCCCAGCAACAAGAUCAGGCCUAAUCACCCACAAAAAGGUCAUGCUACUAUUUGCGAGACCCCAAGCAAACUCAAUCAGCUGCUCGUCCGUCAUGACUGUGAUACUUCCAAAGUUUACAUAAACCACAGAGUUUGGUUCUUUUGACUCAAGCCAAUCAAGACACUCUGGUUCUUCUUUCCAAAGAUUUGCCCCGAUCCUCUUUGAGUCAUCAUCUUCUUGGAUAUGUCUGAGUUGUUGAUGAAGAGGUCCAAUGGAAUACACAGGUGGUAGCAAACUUGAAAAUGCAUCUAAAACUUUAUGCUCCAAGGCAUCAAAUGUGUUAAUAAUGAUAGCAGACGCUCUUUGAGCUUGUUCUAUCAUAUACAGAAGAUAACUCAGCAUGACAUCAUCUGGGUCUGUGGUUCUAAUGAAGGUUGGCAUGUCCCUCAAACGUAUACUGCCCAAGCCAGGUAACCAGUCUAUUACAGUGUCCAAGUAGCCAUUUGUUAAAUAACUGGCCUCUGCAAAUAAAGGAGACAAAGGUGAAGUUAACAUUCUGGUACCGCUACAUGUUUAGGACAUAGUGUUCCAGAAUAGUGAUGACCCAUACCUUUAAGUGGAACAAUACCCUUUUCAAUGAGAUGAGCAUAGUGAAGGUAGCACAUUAAUGCACAAGCACUCGCUGUCUGGAAGAGGACUACUGGAAGGCCAAGUUCAUGGGCUGCAUCAAGAGUGAAG
rnacentral:lncRNA from 1 species